CUGAUCAUUUUGCAGUGGCCUAUGUAGUAUGUAUAUAUAUAUUUAUUCAUGCAGUAUUUUAGUCAUUGAUGAGCAUAAAGGACACGUGAUAAUUAUACAAGUUCAAAUGAAAAGUGGAAGGGUAGCAAAAUCCUUCCUUACCACUUUUAAAGAACACUCCAAGCACCAUAACUACUGAUCUUAUAUAUUUACACAAUGCCAGAACUUGUAGAAGCAAUACAAGUGUUGUGCACUCACCAGAUGAAAAAGACUGGAAAGGAAAUUAAAAGUGACGGUACGUAUGGAAAUGUCAAAAAUAAAGGAUAAGAGGAGAAGAGGCUAAAGAAAAAAAAUCUCACUGCAGAAUUAUUAAUCUAUAAAGACAUAUUAUCCCAGUAUAUUUCCCUCAGCCAUAUGUGACCCAGUUCAUAUC